UUGAGAUUUGAAGAUCAAAGUUCAAAGCCAGACUGGGUCAACAAAAUCAAGAGUCUCUUAUCUCCAACUCCAAUUAACCAACAUAAAACAGAACUGAGGUAUGGUUCAAAUGAAAGAGGGCCUAGUGAACAAGAGUCCUUGCAUUCCAUCCCCAAUACUGGCAGGUAUGCACACACAUGCACAUAUGCGCGUGCACACACAAAUUAAUGGCUUACUGAUAUGAAUCAUAUACUAUCAACCCACUUACUGCUAUAAUUAAGUGAGCAUGGGCAUAUUCAGAGUUGUACAACUGCCAUAAUUUUAAAACAUUUUCAUCAUCCUAAAAUGAAACAAUACAUCCUUUAGCAGCAACUUUCCUAUUCUCCAAUUAUUUAACCUCGGUCAAUCAUUUUACUCCACACAUCUGCCUAUUCUGGAACUUUCAUAUAAAUGGAACCAAAUAAUAGACUUUCACUUAACAUACUAUUUCUAGGAGUCAUUGUUUUAGAAAUUAUCAAAUCUUCCUAUUGUUGAAUAACAUGCCUCUAAUUCUAGUGACAAGAUAUACAUACCUUCUGAUCAGGUGAUCCACAUUUAUACUGUUGCCACCUUUUAGCUAUUAUGAAUAAAGCUGCUUUGAAUAUUAACACGUGAGUUUUUUAAUGUGGCCAAAUUGUCAAUUCUUUUGGAUAAAUGUAGUAGAAUGUCUGGGUCAUAUGUUAACUUUCUAACCUUUGCAGAAAUAAGAUUGUUUCAAAAGUGGCUACACAUUUUCCGCCAACAGUGUAGGGGUGGUCCAACUUCUCCAUAACCUAGUCAAUAUUAAUCAACAAUUGAUAUUAUCAGUCCUUUUUAUUACAGUCAUUCUAGUAGGCAAGAAAUGAACAUCCCACUAUAGCUUUGAAAUGCAUUUCCUGAUGGCUAAGUAAUUUUAUUUUAGUAAAAUCUCUAAGAGUAAAGUUGGCAUCUGUUUUACUCAACAAUAUAGCAUCAACACUAAUAAUGUCUGUUACUGAGUAGGCCUUAGUAUUUGUUAAAUAAUAGAAAAAUAGUAUCAUGUAUUUGAAAGUAUGUCUUUUUCAGGUACCAGCAUGUUGAAGGAAACUAUAUGAAAGAGAUAAAGAAAACAGCAGAUGACUCUGAAAUUUGAGCUUAGUAUAUGAAGGCUAAUAAAACCGAAAAUAAAAUAUAAUAAAGCAGUAUGCUAAUGGCUCAUGUUCUAUAAUCCU